CCUACGGGCGACAGCAGUCGAGAAUCAUUCACAAUGGGGGAAACCCUGAUGGUGCGACGCCGCGUGGGGGAAUGAAGGUCUUCGGAUUGUAAACCCCUGUCAUGUGGGAGCAAAUUAAAAAGAUAGUACCACAAGAGGAAGAGACGGCUAACUCUGUGCCAGCAGCCGCGGUAAUACAGAGGUCUCAAGCGUUGUUCGGAAUCACUGGGCGUAAAGCGUGCGUAGGCUGUUUCGUAAGUCGUGUGUGAAAGGCGCGGGCUCAACCCGCGGACGGCACAUGAUACUGCGAGACUAGAGUGAUGGAGGGGGAACCGGAAUUCUCGGUGUAGCAGUGAAAUGCGUAGAUAUCGAGAGGAACACUCGUGGCGAAGGCGGGUUCCUGGACAUUAACUGACGCUGAGGCACGAAGGCCAGGGGAGCGAAAGGGAUUAGAUACCCGUGUAGUC
rnacentral:rRNA from 1 species